rnacentral:rRNA from 1 species
AGCGAACGCUGGCGGCAGGCUUAACACAUGCAAGUCGAGCGGGCACUUUCGGGUGUCAGCGGCGGACGGGUGAGUAACGCGUGGGAACGUGCCCUCUGGUUCGGAAUAACUCAGGGAAACUUGAGCUAAUACCGGAUACGCCCUUUUGGGGAAAGGCUUGCUGCCGGAGGAUCGGCCCGCGUCUGAUUAGCUAGUUGGUGAGGUAACGGCUCACCAAGGCGACAAUCAGUAGCUGGUCUGAGAGGAUGAUCAGCCACACUGGGACUGAGACACGGCCCAGACUCCUACGGGAGGCAGCAGUGGGGAAUAUUGGACAAUGGGCGCAAGCCUGAUCCAGCCAUGCCGCGUGAGUGAUGAAGGUCUUAGGGUUGUAAAGCUCUUUUAUCCGGGACGAUAAUGACGGUACCGGAGGAAUAAGCCCCGGCUAACUUCGUG